UUCAUCAGAACACGUCUUAUCCCUCAGCAGAACACGUCUUGUCCCUACGUCGGCUCCAAAUGUAGCAGCAUCAUAAUUGGGUUCAAAUAGACGACAGACGACAGCGAGGUGGAAUGUUACUCAGAACCUGACAGUGAGGGCAUGUCUGGCUUAAGUACAGGCGCUAUAUCUGGACUUGUGAUCGCUGUUGUAUUGGCUGUUGUUAUACCCACUGUUUGAAUAAUUUACAAGGGUAAAGCAUGCCAAAGGUGAUGAUGGACAAAACGGACAAACGACCGAAAACAGAUGAAUUUGACAACCCUGGCUUCUCAAAUAUUCCUAGAUAGUGUCGGAAUACUAGAGAGAAAGUGGCUAUCAAGGCCACAAUUAAACAGUGUUUCUCUUGUGAUUAAAAAUAUAUUAGUAAACAAGCAUAGUAAAUUAUGUUUUAAAGCGAUCCUAUUUGAAACUGAACGGUGUUUCUCUUUUGAUUUAAAAAUAUAUUAGUAAACACACUUAGUAAACUAUGUCUUAAAUGCAUCCUAUUUGGAACUCGACAUUUUUCGGGCUCACACUGUUGUGGCCCGAAUGGCCCAUCCACCAACAUUGUGCUAGACCAUUUAUUUUUGUUUUAUUACUAUAUAUUUUUAAAGCUGUAGUGUCUGGUUUCAAUCGUAUACAAUCAAGUUCUAAGUUCAAAUACAAGUAUAACUGCACUUUUAAUUCACUCGCGAGUUGUCGUCAUUGGCGCAUAUCGUCAAAUGCUUACUAGCCAGUUAGAACAAUGCUCGCCAUUUUGUAAUACCGAGCAGAUACUAGCAGCCACUUCAUAGCAGCCAAUUAUGCUAGCAGCCAAUUUCAGCAGACCCGCAUGGCGACGUUCUAAACACCGGACUUGUACACCUUUUAUAAUGUGUGUUGUGGGGUGGUCUAUACGAAACUAGCUGGACAUCCUAUAUUACCGUAGUACAGAAGGAUUUUUAAAGUGAUACUGCAGAUAUUAUAACAGUGCUUAAUAAAACGGUUAAGUUGUAUUUAUACGGAUAUUAGUAACAAUAAGACUGUCAAAAUGAGUCUUGGUUGUUAUUUUGUUUUUGUGUUGUUUUUAUAUAAAGAUACUCUUUAAAACUCUAAAAUUCUUAAGUUGUAGUGAAUAAUAAAAAUUAGCAUAGCAGUGUGUUUAAAAGUGUGAAAUACAGGUAACAAUCGAAAGCCGUACGAGUCCGAUGUUUAGAACGUCGACAUGAGUGUCUGCUGAAAUCGGCUGCUAGCGUAAUUGGCUGCUAGAAAUUGACUGCUCGGUUUUUAUAAUGCAACAAUAGCCCAACCGUACUAUUUUUAGCCCAGUGGGCGCCCGCCAAAAGUGUUCCACUUUCAAAAUACCGG